rnacentral:rRNA from 1 species
GAUGAACGCUGGCGGCGUGCUUAACACAUGCAAGUCGAACGAUGAAGCCCAGCUUGCUGGGUGGAUUAGUGGCGAACGGGUGAGUAACACGUGAGUAACCUGCCCUUGACUCUGGGAUAAGCCUGGGAAACUGGGUCUAAUACCGGAUAGGAACGUCCACCGCAUGGUGGGUGUUGGAAAGAUUUAUCGGUCAUGGAUGGACUCGCGGCCUAUCAGCUUGUUGGUGAGGUAAUGGCUCACCAAGGCGACGACGGGUAGCCGGCCUGAGAGGGUGACCGGCGACACUGGGACUGAGACACGGCCCAGACUCCUACGGGAGGCAGCAGUGGGGAAUAUUGCACAAUGGGCGAAAGCCUGAUGCAGCGACGCCGCGUGAGGGAUGACGGCCUUCGGGUUGUAAACCUCUUUCAGUAGGGAAGAAGCGAAAGUGACGGUACCUGCAGAAGAAGCACCGGCUAACUACGUG